ACAGUACACACUCGUGCAGUUUGGUUGACUUGUUUGUUUUUGGUUGAACUUUAAAACUGUUCGCCUCUCAUUUCAAAACUUAACAGUUAACAGUUUGUUCUAUGUCACUGUCGCAAAAAUUCCUGUCCUGCCGAGGACGACAGCGUGGAGUGGCGCAUUGUUGCCGACGAGCAAGCGCAGCCCGGUGGGGGACUCUCGCAGCAGACGGGCUCCACGGAGGAUGAGGAAGAGGCCGAGCAGGAAGUGGUGUAUCAGGAGAUACAUCUGACGGAGGACGAGAAGGCCGAGUUGGCGCAAGCGGUGCAGAUGGCUAUGGUCGUCUUCAGUCGGGCUGGGGUUUCCGAUGAACGAGCAAUAAGCCUGCUGCGCAACAUGAGUGCUGCAGAACGCGAGUUCCUGAAAAAUCACCAUCCCACACAUUUGCAGUCGGAAGCCCUGGCAAAGAAACUCUCACUCCCUCGUGAAGCUGUAUUAUCUUGGUUUCGGAAUCGGGGUCAGAAAUCAACCAAGAAAAACCCGUAAGAGAUUUGGAGGUGCCUUUUAGUUUAUUGCUUUUGUGCUGUCUCCUGCAAGAAAUUGCAUUUAUGUUUUUAUGUAACAUAGAUAUUUGUGUACCAAAUUUAUUGUACAUACAUUCUACACUUACCGAACCGAAUCAUCUUUGGAGUUUAACCAGAUCGCAAAUAACUGGUCAAGAAACUGAUAGUAACUGAUAGUUCAAAUUGUCUGACCCUUUGAAUUUUCCGAUUAUUUCAAAUUGUAAUUCCACUAUCCGUUUAUUUUGUUUGUGUGGGCAAAGGUCUGCUGUUUGUGGUCUUAUACCUGUUUGUGGUUUUGGUUCACUUUCGAACCUUCGUUUGUGACUUUUGGGAAUAUGGCAAAUUAAAAUUCAGAUAUCGG